GAAACGAGAGAUUCACGUCUCCUCGAAGUGGUCGAUCCCCGUUGGGAGGAUGGCCUAACGCCCCGUCCGGCUCGUCCGUGGCGGUGGGUAGGCUGCUUCCCGCGGGUGCUCGGCUUCUCGGGGGACCGCAAUUCUCUCGCAGUAGGACGUCGCGACCCGCUCUGCGGCGGUCUAACGGCCGGUAGAAAGCCUGGUCGGGGCCCAUCUUCGGGUGUGUUCCCUGCCAGAUCUCCGGACCCGCGGCCGUCGGUCCGGGCGGUAUGAAACGACUCUAGCGCUGGGCCGCUCCUCGAGAGCGCCGAGUCUCCUCGCAAGCUCGGGCCGGGUUGCCGGGACGUGCCUUCACGGGUACGCUCGACGCCCGCUCGGACUGUUGGUGGGUGAGACUCCGGCCGUUCGUCCAGCACGCUCGUCGGCGGCGCUUCAGAUUCGGGCACUUAUCCGACCCGUCUUGAAACACGGACCAAGGAGUCUAGCGUGUGCGCGAGUCAUUGGGUGUAAAACCUAAAGGCGUAAUGAAAGUGUCAGAGGGCGCUUGCGUUCUCAGUGGGAGGAUGGGCUUCCGGCUUUGCGGCCGGCGCCCCGCACUCCCGGGGCGUUUCAUUCUCAAUUUGAGUAGAGACGCACCAGGAGCGCACACGCUGGUACCCGAAAGAUGGUGAACUAUGCCUGGCCAGGACGAAGCCAGGGGAAACCCUGGUGGAGGUCCGAAGCGAUUCUGACGUGCAAAUCGAUCGUCUGAGCUGGGUAUAGGGGCGAAAGACCAAUCGAACCAUCUAGUAGCUGGUUCCCUCCGAAGUUUCCCUCAGGAUAGCUGGCUCUCGGGAAGAGACGAGUCUCAUCCGGUAGAGCGAAUGAUUAGAGGUGAUGGGGUCGAAACGACUUCAACCUAUUCUCAAACUCCCAAUAGAUGAGAGCCCCGGCUUGCUUGAAAGUGAAGCCGCGGGACUCGGAUCAGAGAUGCCAAGUGGGCCAAUUUUGGUAAGCAGAACUGGCGCUGUGGGAUGAACCAAACGCAGAGUUAAGGCGCCUGAUUCGACGCUCAUCUGAAACCAUGAAAGGCGUUGGUUGCUUAAGACAGCAGGACGGUGGCCAUGGAAGUCGGAAUCCGCUAAGGAGUGUGUAACAACUCACCUGCCGAAGCAACUAGCCCUGAAAAUGGAUGGCGCUGUAGCGUCGUGCCUAUACUCUGCCGUCAACGGCAAAGCGGGCGGCCUUUCGGGGCGUAGCCGUUACGCCUUGACGAGUAGGAGGGUCGCGGCGGUGUGCGCGGAAGGGUCUGGGCGUGAGCCCGCCUGGAGCCGCCGCCGGUGCAGAUCUUGGUGGUAGUAGCAAAUACUCCAGCGAGGCCCUGGAGGACUGAUGUGGAGAAGGGUUUCUUGUGAACAGCUGUUGCACAAGAGUCAGUCGAUCCUAAGCCCUAGGAGAAAUCCGAAGCGAUGGUCUGCCGUUAACUCUCUAGUGCCCGCCUCCACCAUCUUCGGAAGGUGUUGUGCGGACGUCUUACGAGCUGGCACCGUCUGGGCGAAAGGGAAUCCGGUUCCUAUUCCGGAACCCGGCCGCGGAACCGCUCCAAUUCGGGCCCUCAUCCGAGGACUCGUCGGGGCGACCCGAAAUGACCCGGAGAAGCCGUAGGGAGGUCCGGGGAGAGUUGUCUCUUCUCUAUAAGCGUUCGAGUUCCCUGGAAGCCUCUAGGAGGGAGAUAGGGUUUGGAACGCGAAGAGCACCGCACUUACGGCGGUGUCCGGAUCUUCCCCUCGGACCUUGAAAAUCCGGGCGAGGGCCACGAGGAACACCGCGCCGGCUCGUACCCAUAUCCGCAGCAGGUCUCCAAGGUGAAUAGCCUCUAGUCGAUAGAAUAAUGUAGGUAAGGGAAGUCGGCAAACCCGAUCUGUAACUUCGGGAUAAGGAUUGGCUCUGAGGAUCGUGGCGCGCCGGGCUUGGUCGGGAAGUGGAGCGGUGCCAACGUGCCGGGCCUGGGCGAGGCGAAAGGUGCAUGUCACCAGGACCCUAGCUCGGUCCCGUGCCUUGGCCACCCACGGACCUUCCUUGCUGCGAGCCUCCCGGCUGUCUAGUUUUCGGCUCUGCCGGAGGACGGGCCGGAAGGCUCUUCGGCCGCCAUAGAACGAUCAACUUAGAACUGGCACGGACCAGGGGAAUCCGACUGUCUAAUUAAAACAAAGCAUUGCGAUGGCCCCAAGGGGUGAUGACGCAAUGUGAUUUCUGCCCAGUGCUCUGAAUGUCAACGUGAAGAAAUUCAAGCAAGCGCGGGUAAACGGCGGGAGUAACUAUGACUCUCUUAAGGUAGCCAAAUGCCUCGUCAUCUAAUUAGUGACGCGCAUGAAUGGAUUAACGAGAUU
rnacentral:rRNA from 1 species